rnacentral:snRNA from 1 species
AAAUGUGAGGGUGAUCUGGCUACGACAUCCGUCACCCCAUUGAUCGCCACAGUUGAUUCGCCUGAUCUGGCUGGCCAGGCAGGUGUCCCCUUCCUCCCUCACUGCUCCAUGGGCAUCCUUCCCAAAGCCGUGGGCUCAGUUGAGGAGGACAACCUUCCCGGAUAGAGGAGGACCACCCUUUGGGCAAGGGGAUAUGAGUAGUUGCACUUCCCUGCAAGAACCUUCAAACAAGCUCCCCAAAUCAAGUUGAAGAGUGUACAAGGUAUAUUUCAGUUGGAUGAUCUUGGAAAUGGCCUGAGGCAAAGUCU